UACGAAGGGGGCUAGCGUUGCUCGGAAUGACUGGGCGUAAAGGGCGCGUAGGCGGAUUGUACAGUCAGGCGUGAAAUUCCCGGGCUCAACCUGGGGGCUGCGCUUGAGACGUGCGAUCUUGAGUGGGGAAGAGGGUCGUGGAAUUCCCAGUGUAGAGGUGAAAUUCGUAGAUAUUGGGAAGAACACCGGUGGCGAAGGCGGCGACCUGGUCCGAUACUGACGCUGAGGCGCGAAAGCGUGGGGAGCAAACAGG
rnacentral:rRNA from 1 species